GAAAUCGGGGACGCGCUGGGGUGUGCGCAGCCGUGAGGACGCGCCUGUCUGCUUGCGCGCGCUGGAACCCGGACUCUUGAGUGGAAACCGAAGACGCACGUGGGAGGAACGCGUGGAGCAUGAAGAGGCAGGGAGCCUCGUCCGGGCGGAAGCGAGCGCGGAUACCGUCCGGAAAGGCGGGAGCAGCAAAUGGGUUUCUCAUGGAAGUGUGUGUUGAUUCAGUGGAGUCGGCUGUAAAUGCAGAAAGAGGAGGUGCUGAUCGCAUUGAAUUAUGUUCUGGCUUAGUGGAAGGAGGAACCACACCCAGCAUGGGUGUCCUUCAAGUAGUGAAGCAGUAUGUCCAGAUACCAGUUUUUGUGAUGAUUCGGCCGCGUGGAGGUGAUUUUUUAUAUUCAGACCGUGAAGUUGAGGUGAUGAAGGCUGACAUUCGUCUUGCCAAACUUUAUGGUGCUGAUGGUUUGGUAUUUGGGGCACUGACUGAAGAUGGACACAUUGACAAAGAACUGUGCAUGUCCCUUAUCGCUAUUUGCCGUCCUCUGCCAGUCACUUUCCACCGAGCCUUUGACAUGGUUCAUGAUCCAAUGGCAGCUCUAGAGACCCUCUUAACUUUGGGAUUUGAAAGAGUAUUAACCAGUGGAUGCGACAUCUCAGCACUAGAAGGACUACCCCUAAUAAAGCGACUCAUAGAUCAGGCAAAAGGCAGGAUUGUGGUAAUGCCAGGGGGUGGCAUAACAGACAGAAAUCUACAAAGGAUCCUUGAGGGUUCAGGGGCUACAGAAUUCCACUGUUCCGCUCGGUUGGCUAGAGAUUCAGGAAUGAAGUUUCGACUUGACUGAGACUCAGUCAUCCAGUGGAGAUUUGUGAACAAGGUCUAGAAGCAAAUGAAUGCCAUCCUAGAGGGAUUCACAGAACUGCCUCCUACUGAUUUGAUUAAAAACGGUGAUGAAAGUGAGCUUUGCAGAUGAAAGGAGUUGCUGAUGUGCAGCCUUGGCAACGUGGACGUGAACGACUGGAGACAACAUUUAUAUACAAGAAGGACUACUGCCCAGACCACCCUGUCAUUCAGUGGUUCUGGAAGGCUGUGCUGCUCAUGAACACUGAGAAGCAUAUCCAGUUUUACUGCAGUUUGUCACGGAAACAUCCUGAGUACCCAGGAAUGGAUUUGGUUCCAGUGGUCCCCAGCUGUUUACAAUAUAGCAAUGGAGAAGUCCUGGAAAACUUCCCAGAGCUCACACAUGCUUUAAUCGCCUUGACUUAUCUCCAACUGAAACCUUUGAAGAUUUAUGAGAGAAACUUGUGGUUGUGGAAGAUACACAAGGAUUUGAAGAUGCUAAAACCACCACCAAAUGGAAGAAAUUAACUACUUGAUGAUCAUGAGCACGUAGCCCCCAGACCUACUGGUGCCUAAGGAUCGAUAAUGUUAACCCCUCUGACACCGCCCUGUUACCUCACAAUCAACCAAUCAGAGAAUUGUGCAUGCGCUGAUUGCAUACCCUGGGAAGCCCCUCCCUCACCUAGCCUUUAAAAAUGCUUUUUGAAGCCCAUCGAGGAGUUCUGGUGUUUUGAGCACCAGCGCUCCUGGGCUCCUUGCUGACGCGCUGCAAUAAACGCUGCACCUUCCUUCACCACAACCCAGUGUCAGUAGAUUGGCUCUGCUGCGCGCGGGCCAGCAGACCCAAGUUUGGUUCGGUAACAGAAAUACCAGAAUUAUGACAGACAAAAGCGAACAAGCAAGGUUAACAAAUGAAGAUUUCCUGUUGUCUGCCACCUGCCACGGAAUGGGUUCCUGUUGAAUGCCACCUGACAGAAAUUGCCACUGAUGAAUGGUCAGCCAGCCAAAAUCCCACAUUACUGACACCAGAGGGGAAGAAUAAUUUGAUAAAUG